rnacentral:tRNA from 1 species
GCCCCCAUCGUCUAGAGGCCUAGGACAUGUCCUUUUCACGGAUAAAACGGGGAUUCGACUUCCCCUGGGGGUA